UCACUUUUUCUCUUUCACCUAAAAUUUUUAAUGAUAUGGGAGACACUGGUGGACUGGGACUGUGGUGGUGCUUCAGACUGGAGUUCUGACCAGAGGAGGAGAAGGGAGACCUAUCAAAAAAAAUACUCUCAUAUGAGCUAUGCACUGUUUGCAGAGGACCACAUCAAGUUUCACACAAGAGAAGCAACGUACACUCUCCUUAUAAACAGUUAGUAGUAUAGCACCUACUUUUCUUGGAAGGUGAGAGGUGAGUUAGCAAUUGAUGUGAUCUUUAGUUUUCCUGUUAGUUCCUUAGUAUUGGUUCCUCUCAUCACAGCAGCAUGGACAUGCACCUCUUGGAGGCACCUCCUCUGAGACACAGCCAUUUGUUGCUUUCCACUUUUGUAUUCUCAGUAUACAAGCAUAGUCUCCGUGCUUCAAAAACUUGUGUCAGAUGAGGAGGGGAGGAAGUUACCACUUACGCAUUCACCAUUCAUGAGCACGUCUUUUGUUCUUCACCUUUUCUCUCCAGCCUGUCACCAGACACAGUAGAAAUGAGAUCCUCCUCUAAAGAGGCAGAUACCACCUGAUUCCUAAAAUAUGUUUUUGCAAUGAUAAGUUUCUAGUGAGUUGUUUAUUUCAGUAUUUCUUUGCUAUUAACCCUUUCUUAUCUACCAUUCCACUAUUCCUCAAAUGUAAGCAACAUGAAGUGCCUUUGGAGUUUGCAACAAAUAUUUAUUUAACAAAAUGGAUGCCACCAACAUAUCUCCAAAAUGCAGACAGCAGGAGAAUUGGAAAGACUGGGACAUCAGAAGUGCCAAAGGACAAAGGCAUUUUCAUUCAAAGGUUACACACUGGAAUUAGUGGGGUUCAUUUGUACAUUAUAUGCUUGUCGGGAGACGUUAUGGGACAGAUCUCUGUGCAAAGCUUGACGGAUGCUGAAACAUGGAGUGGUCAGGACUUUACUCAUCCUUUGAUUCACUGCCUAUAUAAAAACACUGGCAUAAAAAAAGGCUCCUUAACAUCCUGCUGUGAAAUAAAAGGCCAUUGGAGGCUCUUGUGAGGCCAGAAGAAACUAUCAGAGUCCUAGAGAAAACAGGAAUGUGGAAAAUGGCUUAGCAUGUAAACCCCUGUAUGAGCUAAGGGCGCUGCCUGCACCUAUGGAGGGUGGAGGAGCACCAUGGGCACUAAGUAUUGUGAGGCAGCUGGAAGAAAGACGUUGAAUUUUUUUUCUAGCAGCAUCACCAGCCCAGCUCUGCCAGUGUUUGGUGUGGACCAAAGUUCUCAGCUCUUCAGUGGUUUGGGCAUCACUUUUUUGAGACCUAGCCUUCACCCUCAUGUUUUCAGAGAUACUGAGAAGAAAGUAGCCAGUUAAGUGUUAAAUAAAAACUUGCUCAAUAAUCUUCCUUGAAUUUUGGGGUUCAGUCCUUCCCUCACAGAACUCCUUAUAAAUUUAUUUAUUUAUUAAUUCAUUGUAAUGGCUCAGUACCGGAAAUUAGUACCUUUAAUGUCUGCUCAAGCUAGGAGCAUUCAUCCUCUUGGCACGAUUAAGCCUCAGGUGCCUGAAAACUCACUUCAUAAACGGUAGCGUGUAACAAAAUGGACCAGAUCAGUUGCCAUCUGUUCUCCCCUUGGAUGUCUGCAGCCCAGCUGCUGGUUCAUGGAUCUGGUCAUUCUGAAGGUACUUCAAAUAGCUUCCGUCCAGGGCUUGCAUUUGAGUGACAGCAAACCUGACUUGAAAAGGUGUUGGUGUGGUUAGGGACACAAACAGGCAUCCUCUGGGACUUUCAGAAGCAACUUAUUUGCACUUAACUAUCUGCUCAAGGAAACCGAACUGUAUUCCAGUAAUGGUAUUACAGGAAUUUGGCUUAGGAGGUGGUAGGGUGAAAGGAUUAGCAAUGGAGAAGACCUAAUGAAAUAGAAAUCAGCAUGAAUUUGGAAUUCUCAGAAGGGUCUGAGCUAUGUGAGUUAACAACACAUGGUCAGAAAUGCUGCAGAAACAGCUCUGUGACCACACAGCCAACCUGUCACGGUGGUGUGCACAUUGCAUGCCUGUAUUCUCUAAACUGCUGGGGAGAAAACUGUCCGUCAGAGCAAGGUUUCUAAGCCAGCAUCCAGAGAGGUGUAAGGUAGGAAGGCCAGGGCAUGGCUGCCCAGCCAAGGCAGCCACGGCUGACUGUUCUGCCAGGGGAGCAGAGCCCACCACAACAGGCAGUGGUUUUGCAGUGCCGUAACUCAGGGUGCAGGUGACACUUUCUGACAUAACUGGCAUUCCCCUGCAAAGCAGCAGCAGCCGGGCAGUGCCACUUCCACAAUUCAGAUAAGCAAUGAAUUGCAGAAAUGAGAUUUUAUUUUUAGGAAAUACACAAGCCUGGAGUCUCCACUGGACAAGAGCUCCCGUGCUGUGAAUUCGUAUAUGCGGUCUGUUAUUUGUGUAAUCUAUAUAGGGAGGCAGGAACACAAGCCGCUCGCUAGCAUCACCCUUAACUUGCGAGCGCGGGGCACGGUGCCCGCUUCCCCGGGGAUGGGGCUGCGAGAGGCAGCACCUGCAGCGCAAUUGUUGCUGCGGGGCCGCACGCACCGCCUCCGCCUGCCGCGGCCCCUGCGGCGCAGCUCCGCGCCC